AAUCUGAGAGGCUCGAUAUUUUAUGGGAUAAAGGUUUUAUCGCUUGCGGCAUGCAUUCGAUUUUUCCUUAGAAAUUAAUUUAGGGAAACAUAAAUAUUUUAAUUAUUAAUUUAUUUUUGUCCACUCACUCUAACGUUAUUAAAUGUUUUCCCCUGGGCCCUUCGUUUUAAAUUGCCCAGUCUGCAGAGUUCGGGUUGGAUCUAGUAGGAGACGAGGCAUAGUCACCCGCUUUUCGGCCAGUUUUCAUCAGUAGGUUACCUGUUCAACCUACUUGUGUUUUCUUGCUUCCGCUUGUGUUUAGUAGCUCUGAAUACUUUAGAAUUUUGUAUAUUAUGUGAUAUUCAGAAGCGUUAAAUUAAGAGUGUAAUAUGAAAUUUUCGAGUUAGGGUUGUCCAUCUGCAAGGGAGAUUUUCUUAAUCUUUUCAGUAAAUUUUCCUUGGAGGUGGUCCCCGCACGACUUACUCUGGGUUUCAGGGUGAAAUUCGGGGUGGGUCGUGUCAACAAUAGUGUGACAUCUGAUCACUUAAUUUGUCGAUGCAUCAACCAAAACCAUUAAUAUUUAACUGGUCUGUAUGGUGGUUGGAUAGGUCCACAUAUUUUUCCUUGCAUUAUGUGCAUAAAGAGAUAAUGUAUAUUCUAGUCUUUGCAUGUGAUGGUCUAGUAUUCAACAUUCUUAACGAGCAGCUUGAUAUAAUGUGUCAUUAAAGACAAGACAUUUAUUCUGAGGGGGAUGCUCGUGUGAUAAUUGAGUUGAGGAUACGGUGCAUCAUAUGUUUUUCCUAGGUGCAUCAAACACCAAUACUAUAGCUAGUAUUUGCUCGAAUCAUU
rnacentral:lncRNA from 1 species